rnacentral:rRNA from 1 species
GAUGAACGCUGGCGGCGUGCCUAAUACAUGCAAGUCGAGCGAACAGAUAAGGAGCUUGCUCCUUUGACGUUAGCGGCGGACGGGUGAGUAACACGUGGGUAACCUGCCUAUAAGACUGGGAUAACUUCGGGAAACCGGAGCUAAUACCGGAUAAUAUUUCGAACCGCAUGGUUCGAUAGUGAAAGAUGGUUUUGCUAUCACUUAUAGAUGGACCCGCGCCGUAUUAGCUAGUUGGUAAGGUAACGGCUUACCAAGGCGACGAUACGUAGCCGACCUGAGAGGGUGAUCGGCCACACUGGAACUGAGACACGGUCCAGACUCCUACGGGAGGCAGCAGUAGGGAAUCUUCCGCAAUGGGCGAAAGCCUGACGGAGCAACGCCGCGUGAGUGAUGAAGGUCUUCGGAUCGUAAAACUCUGUUAUUAGGGAAGAACAUACGUGUAAGUAACUGUGCACGUCUUGACGGUACCUAAUCAGAAAGCCACGGCUAACUACGUG